rnacentral:tRNA from 3 species
GGAGGAGUGGCCGAGCGGCUGAAGGCGGCGGUCUUGAAAACCGUUAGGUGUUAAAGCCUCGUGGGUUCGAAUCCUACCUCCUCCGCCA